UUAAAAUUAAAGUUGGGAAUUUAUUUCCUGCCUGUUGAGGGCAGGGGAAAAAUCUGUGUAAUUAGA
rnacentral:tRNA from 1 species